rnacentral:rRNA from 1 species
GCAUAGCAGCGCAGGUCUUUCGGGACAGAGGAGACAGGUGGUGCAUGGUUGUCGUCAGCUCGUGUCGUGAGAUGUUGGUUAAGUCCCGCAACGAGCGCAACCCUUGCCUUAGUUGCCAGCACGUUAUGGUGGGCACUCUAGAGGGACUGCCGGUGACAAACCGGAGGAAGGUGGGGAUGACGUCAAAUCAUCAUGCCCCUUAUGAUCUGGGCUACACACGUGCUACAAUGGCCGGUACAACGAGAAGCGAAACCGCGAGGUGAAGCAAAUCUUUUAAAGCCGGUCCCAGUUCGGAUUGCAGGCUGAAACUCGCCUGCAUGAAGUUGGAGUUGCUAGUAAUCGCGGAUCAGCAUGCCGUGGUGAAUGCGUUCCCGGGUCUU